rnacentral:rRNA from 1 species
CCCUUAGACGUUCUGGGCCGCACGCGCGCUACACUGACCAGUGCAACAAGCAUCCGUCCUUGGCCGACAGGCCCGGGCAAUCUUUGAACGCUGGUCGUGAUGGGGAUAGACUUUUGCAAUUUUUGGUCUUCAACGAGGAAUUCCUAGUAAACGCAAGUCAUCAACUUGCAUUGAUUACGUCCCUGCCCUUUGUACACACCGCCCGUCGCACCUACCGAUUGAAUGGUCCGGUGAAGCCUCCGGAUUGGCGCGCACCUCGGUGCCGCCGAGAAGUUGGCUAAACCUUACCAUUUAGAGGAAGGUUAAGUCGUAACA